rnacentral:rRNA from 1 species
UAGCUAGUUGGUGAGGUAAAGGCUUACCAAGGCGACGAUCUGUAGCGGGUCUGAGAGGAUGAUCCGCCACACUGGAACUGAGACACGGUCCAGACUCCUACGGGAGGCAGCAGUGGGGAAUUUUGGACAAUGGGGGCAACCCUGAUCCAGCCAUGCCGCGUGAGUGAAGAAGGCCUUCGGGUUGUAAAGCUCUUUCGGCCGGGAAGAAAUCGCAUGGGCCAAUACCCUGUGUGGAUGACGGUACCGGAAUAAGAAGCACCGGCUAACUACGUGCCAGCAGCCGCGGUAAUACGUAGGGUGCGAGCGUUAAUCGGAAUUACUGGGCGUAAAGCGUGCGCAGGCGGUUUUGUAAGACAGGCGUGAAAUCCCCGGGCUUAACCUGGGAACUGCGUUUGUGACUGCAAGGCUAGAGUACGGCAGAGGGGGGUGGAAUUCCACGUGUAGCAGUGAAAUGCGUAGAGAUGUGGAGGAACACCAAUGGCGAAGGCAGCCCCCUGGGUCGAUACUGACGCUCAUGCACGAAAGCGUGGGUAGCAAACAGGAUUAGAUACCCUGGUAGUCCACGCCCUAAACUAUGUCAACUAGGUGUUGGGUGGGUAAAACCAUUUAGUACCGUAGCUAACGCGUGAAGUUGACCGCCUGGGGAGUACGGCCGCAAGGUUAAAACUCAAAGGAAUUGACGGGGACCCGCACAAGCGGUGGAUGAUGUGGAUUAAUUCGAUGCAACGCGAAAAACCUUACCUACCCUUGACAUGCCAGGAACUUGCCAGAGAUGGCUUGGUGCCCGAAAGGGAGCCUGGACACAGGUGCUGCAUGGCUGUCGUCAGCUCGUGUCGUGAGAUGUUGGGUUAAGUCCCGCAACGAGCGCAACCCUUGUCGUUAAUUGCCAUCAUUUAGUUGGGCACUUUAACGAGACUGCCGGUGACAAACCGGGGGAAGGUGGGGAUGACGUCAAGUCCUCAUGGCCCUUAUGGGUAGGGCUUCACACGUCAUACAAUGGUCGGUACAAAGGGUUGCCAAGCCGCGAGGCGGAGCCAAUCCCAGAAAGCCGAUCGUAGUCCGGAUUGCAGGCUGCAACUCGCCUGCAUGAAGUCGGAAUCGCUAGUAAUCGUGGAUCAGCAUGUCACGGUGAAUACGUUCCCGGGUCUUGUACACACCGCCCGUCACACCAUGGGAGCGGGUUCCGCCAGAAGUAGGUAGCCUAACCGCAAGGGGGGCGCUUACCACGGCGGGGUUCGUGACUGGGGUUAAGUCGAAACAAGGUAGCCGUAGGGGAACCUGCGGCUG